UCAUUUUAAAUGGUUUUAUUUAUACAUAUUGUAUAUUUAGAUCUUUGUCAUAAAAUUUCAAAUCAAACUAAAGUGGUUUUGAAUGUUUUCCAUAGAAAAAAGAAUGAAUAUGCGCUUGAUUUUUAGUUUAUUGUAGAUGUAAAUGUAAUCAAAAGUUAUUUAAAGAGUAAAUGACAUCAGAUAUUCUGGGACACCCUGUACCACAAACAAUCAUCAAAAUAUGAUUACUAAAAAUAAAUUGUUUAUAUUCCAUAUUGUCGAUCUGUACUGAAAUGUAUUUUUACUAUUUACAACUUGUAUACAUUUUGUAUAUUAUAGUCCUUCUGUUAUAUUCAGAAAAAG
rnacentral:misc_RNA from 1 species